AGACAGCUGCAGAGAUGAUGCUACUACAGUCUGCCAGAUUCAGAGACUGUAAGAGGAACAAACCCACCGCUGGGACUGUGAGCUUCACACCUCUCCUGCAUCUGAAAUGCCGGAAACGGAUAAAUGAGAAGCGCCACGGCCUCCUGAAGCAGACAAACGGAUGAAAGAUUCAUGAAGGAGGUGAAUGUUGGGCGCAACGAAACGAUCCGCAGAUCUCUUUCACCUGUGGCCCACCAGACGGCAGAACCGGUGUGUGAGCACAGGUUGAGCCCAGACAGCACCAGCUGUUCUCUGUAAUGCUGAGGAUCCAGCAGGUGUGUGUAACUCCUCAACAGGUACUUUUCUAUGUGGAUAAACUCACUAACCUGUUCCUGUGAGUGAAUCUUUGCUUGUAAUGUGUUGGAUAUUCUUCAACAAUGAAUCAACAAGGUUUAGAGCAACAUGAGGGCGCUGUGGAAUGCAUUGACCUGCGGUGCGACACACAGACAUGUUACAUCUUUAAAGCUGAUUGAUUUUAUAGUUUGUGAUUUCCUUCCCUGCGGCCCGAUGGCGAGAGAGAGACAGAGAGCACAGCUCUGAACCGCGUGUGUUUUUACACCUGUCAGGGGCCGUUAGUCUUCUCUGAUAACAACAGUCACUACUUUCUGUGUUUUUUCAAAGUCAUGUUUUAUUCAUGACUGAUAAGAAUCCAAGAAACGCAAGAUAACAGAGAAAAAGACAAGAUUGUGCCGCUCAUAGCAGGAAGCAGAAGCUGGUGUGUUUCUGAGAUGAUCUGCGUCUCUCUCCUGUCAACAUGGCUAUGAAUACAGGCUGAGAGCUUCGGGGUCAGCUGGAGCGUGACCUUUGACCUGCAGAAGAAAUCACAUCAAAUGGGUUUGGAACGGCAUGAGGGUUUCCAUUGUCCAGACAGACUGAUGACAGGAGACGGAGACGUUUAUACAUUCAGAAAAGCCGCUCUUGAUCUGGGAUCAUCUAGAGACUGAUGGUGUCGCCUCUCAGUUGCUGUUUUGACACCAGAAAUGGCGUCUGAAGCGCGCUAAGAAGUGCUUCUGGCUCUCAGCGUGGCCGCUCCGGAUCCAGGUGUGAACGCAGUCUCUGGUUUGGCAGAUGCAUGAGUGAAAGUUUGAAUCUGACUGAUCAGUAGAAAUGAAGAUGAACACAGCAAACGGCUGCCGUGACGGGUUCAUACUGAAGUGUGUAUGCAGAUUCCCCCUCAGUCGCCCUGUUUGGAUCAGAACUCUGAGAGGAAAGACGCAUCAAACGCGCAGUGAAAUCCACAGGUUGCUCUUUUAUAGCUGAGAAACAUCUCAUGGAUCUUGGAGAAUCUGAGCACAGUUUGAGACGUUAUGGAGACUUCUUCUCUGGAGUAACGUCUGAUGGGGACGUCUCCAUUUGAUCUCACAUUGCUAUCUAGGAAACAACGGUUUUUCUUUCUUGUUACAAAUUUAAGUACUCAUACUAAUAAAAGUAAGUGACAUUUAAAUCGUAUUUUGGACUGAUAUUAAAUCUGGAGGAUUUUUCUCAAUUGUUGCUCUUUUAUGGCUCAAACACUCAUGGAUUUUUUUAUGAUCUAUAAAUGUUGUCCAAACAAAUCCAAAUUCGCGUCAAUAGUAGUAAGAUAAUAUAUUAGCAAGAUGAAUAAAUGUGGAGCAGCUCAGAUGAUUUCAUGAAUGUUUGAGUUGGUUGAGAUCUCUGACUUCUGGUUGCUGAUCAGACCUGAGCACAGUUUGAGACGUUAUUGAGAUCUCCUUUGAGAUCUUCUCAGGCCUUCAUUUGAUCUGCAUUCAAUCACAUUGCUGUCUAAGAGAAACAGCUGAGGCAUUAAAGAGGUUGUUUAUUUUUCUGAGAUGUCAUUUGUGUUUUUCUUUUCCCGUGUCAAUCUAGAUACGUCAUGGUGUGAACGGUUAAACUGGACUCUGAGAUUCUGCUGUUUUCUUAAAGACAGUACUGGAGGACAGUGAACAAAGUAAAGACGGAUCGAGCUCAAACCCAACUGUUUAGUUAGUUAAUAUCACUCCAUCAUGUGUGAUCAAAUUGCACAAAUCAGUUUGAUAAUUCCAGCAUGUCAGAUGAUGACGGAAAGGGUCAAACUGGUGGAAACUGACAGGCUAAUUAUAAAACAAUUCUUCGUCUGCUUUCAGAAGUCCACUGACAUAAAGCAUGAGAUUGUCAUGCUUCUCCUCUCGGUGCAGGUGUGCGGCUGCAGAGAGAGAGAGAGAGAUGGAGAGAAGAAAGGAGAGCGAGAGAGAGUGUUAUUCAUCCCCAGGGGGCACUGUUAGCCCUCCACUUCAACAUCAACAACCUGCACCAUGUGGCCCCAAACACACACACACACACACACGCUCCAGCUGCAGAAGGUGCUGGUGACAGACAUUAAUUUGGUGCUUCAUAUCAUGACACAAAAGACAUCUUCCAUCGAGAGUCCACACACCCUCCUUCUCAUCUGAGAAUCCAGAGCACAGGUGUCCAUACACUGCCGACAGAAACGUCACACGCAACCAGCACUUACAAGUGGAAAAAGUUACCGCCGUAAUGCAAACUUGACUUCAAACCUGCCGUGACAUGUUCAGACAACUUCUUUUGUAUUUUUUUUUUUUUUGGUUUUUUUUUUUUUACAAAAAAUAUAAAUUUUUUGUUUCUAAAUGAAGAGUUCAGAUGUAAAAGCCUCUAAGUGCCGUCUGAAAAAAAUUUCUCAGACUCCUAUGUUUAUGUUCAGUUAUUUCACUUUAAUGGCAAUGAAAAGAAUCUAUUUAUUGCCAUUAAACAUGAAAAUGGUGCAAGAAUAUGGUAAUCAUUUAAUAUCAUGGUACUUUCAGAGUAUUUUUGUGUGCUUGAGUGUUAAAAAUUACAAUUAGUACCACGGACUUUGAGCAUGUACCGUGGCAUAGUGAUUGUAUCAAAUGGUUCAAUUAAAAAAAUUAAUUGGUACACUGACAUAAAAUCACUCAUUAUUAUUUUAAAAAAGUGCUCUUUAUAUAUUUAACCAAAAUACCAUGAUACUUUACAUGGUACAAGUAAAUAAAUGUUAAGAAAAGCAAAAUGGAAUUAGUAGUAGUCAAAUGCAAAUUUCUGUAGAUCUGUAAAGAUGCAAAGAUUAAAGUCUCAAACCCAAACAGAUAUUCUUUAUAAAAGUUAAGACUCUGCCACGCCUUCCUAAAACGGCUCAUUCAAACACGCCCCCACAUGUCUACAUCACGGUGUGGGAAGCUUUGCAUAACACCACCCAAACGUACAGGCAUUGAAAGAAGGCAUAACUUUUAUUCUCGCUGUAGUAUUGUUUGUGUCGCCGUCAUGUCCUGGAGACGCUGUGUUUCGUUGUGAAAGUGAAACUACUUUGUUUGGCCUUCCAAACGAGUACACAACUAAAAAUCAGGUAAGUUAUAUUUACAACACUGUUCCAGAACAGUACAACGCAAAUAUUCGAGUGUGU